GAAAAGUAAGAAAAAUGAAGAAUAUGUGUUCCUUGGUGAGGGAAAAAGGAAGUAUACAUGUCUCAAGCUGAGAUAGAGAAAAGCAGAAUAUGUGUCGCCAAAUGAAAGAGAAUAUGGAAGAAUGUGUCAUUCUCGGUGAAAAAAAGAAGAAUGUGUGUUUCUAUGUUAUAGAGAAAAUGGAAGAAUAUGUGUUUCUAGGUGAGAGUGAAACUGGAAGAAUAUGUGUUUCUAGGUGAGAGAGAGAAAAUGAAAAAGGAAGAAUAUGUGUCUCUGGGUGAGAUAGAAGAAAAGGAACAUAUUGUGUUUCUAGGUGAGAGAGAAAAGGUAAG